rnacentral:rRNA from 1 species
UGAGUACGAGAUGCUACGGCGUCGAAGCAGUCUAGGUCAUACUUCCAAGAAAAGCUUGCACUGUCAUAAACAAAGAAUGCCUGUACCAUAACCGACACAGGUGGGUAGGUAGAGUAUACUAAGGGGCGCGAGAUAACUCUCUCUAAGGAACUCGGCAAAAUGACUCCGUAACUUCGGGAGAAGGAGUGCCUUAUUUUUAAGGUUGCAAUAACAAGAUCCAAGCAACUGUUUACCAAAAACACAGGUCUCCGCUAAGUCGUAAGACGAUGUAUGGGGGCUGACGCCUGCCCAGUGCCAGAAGGUUAAAGAAGUUGGUUAGCAUUUGCGAAGCUGAUAACUGAAGCCCUGGUGAACGGCGGCCGUAACUAUAACGGUCCUAAGGUAGCGAAAUUCCUUGUCGGGUAAGUUCCGACCCGCACGAAAGGCGUAAUGAUUUGGAUACUGUCUCGGAGAGGGGCUCGGUGAAAUAGACUUGUCUGUGAAGAUGCGGACUACCUGCACCUGGACAGAAAGACCCUAUGAAGCUUUACUGUAACUUGAGAUUGAAAUUGGACUUUAUUUGCGCAGUAUAGGUGGGAGGCGUUGAGAAUAAUCUUGCGGGAUUAUCGGAGCCAUCAGUGAGAUACCACUCUUGUAAUGUUAGAUUUCUAACUUUGUAUCAUUAUCUGGUCAAAGAACAGUUUCAGGCGGGCAGUUUGACUGGGGCGGUCGCCUCCCAAAGGGUAACGGAGGCGCACAAAGGUUUCCUCUGAACGGGUAGAAAUCGUAUCUAGAGUGUAAAGGCAUAAGGAAGCUUGACUGUGAGACCUACAAGUCGAGCAGGGACGAAAGUCGGUCUUAGUGAUCUGACGGUGCUGAGUGGAAAGGCCGUCACUCAACGGAUAAAAGUUACUCUAAGGAUAACAGGCUGAUCUCCCCCAAGAGUUCACAUCGACGGGGAGGCUUGGCACCUCGAUGUCGGCUCAUCGCAUCCUGGGGCGGUAGUACGUCCCAAGGGUUGGGCUGUUCGCCCAUGAAAGCGGUACGCGAGCUGGGUUCAGAACGUCGUGAGACAGUUCGGUCCAUAUCCGGUGUAGGCGUUAGAAUAUUGAAAGGAGCCUUCUCUAGUACGAGAGGACCGAGAAGGACAUACCUCUGGUGUGCCAGUUAUCGUGCCAACGGUAAAUGCUGGGUAGCUAUGUAUGGAGUGGAUAACCGCUGAAAGCAUCUAAGUGGGAAGCCCACCUUAAGAUAAG